rnacentral:lncRNA from 1 species
AAGAGAGGUUAGAGGACCGGAUGUCGCCAUAACCGUGUGAAUGUCCCCAGUGUUGUGUCCAGUUUAUAACUCGGGCCGCUAAGUGAGUCAAUACGAACUCUGAGCUUGAGCGUUGCUGAGGAUCUCUUCCAGUGCUUGGAAAUGACGUAAAGGCUUUCUUGGAGCAUCAUUUGGACAAAUUAAGUCAAAUUACCAAAAGCACAUGCUGGGCUCCUGUAAGAUGAUAUCAUGAGUUCUAAAGGAAAGUAUGUAGACUUGGACAGACUCAGCUCCACAGCAAAGAACGUUUGAAGGAAAAUUUCAAGAGUGCCUAUAAUUGUACCUUCCUGAAAAGAGAAGGUUCUGAAAUCUCCCACAAAACACCUGAUAAGUUUGGGCAUUAUAUUUAGGGAAAACAUUUUGAAGUAUGCAGCAGUGGAAACAACAAAGGACUUAAUGUCAAAAGACCUGCUUCAAGCCUGGUUGAAAUAAUCUUGCUUAUACACUUGGGGACGCUUAUGGAAGUGUUGGGGAGGCUCGAGGACCCCAAAGGGGAUAGGAACUCCACAGGAAGAUCAACGGAGCCAACUAACCUGGAGCCCUGGGAGCUCUUAGAGACUGAUCCACCAACCAAAGAGCAUACACGGACUGCAACAAGGCCCCAGGCAUGCAGCUCAGUCUCCAUAAAAGAGCACGCUGAGCCAUAUUUAAAAAAAAGGAUCCUUCUGAAUUGUCGGCUUCCAGUGGAAGAGCUCCACGC